rnacentral:tRNA from 1 species
GGUUGGUGAGAUGGCUCAGUGGGUAAGAGCGUCCGACUGCUCUUCCGAAGGUCCAAAGUUCAAAUCCCAGCAACCA